rnacentral:rRNA from 1 species
GAACACCGAUGGCGAAGGCAGGUCUCUGGGCCAUUACUGACGCUGAGAAGCGAAAGCGUGGGGAGCGAACAGGAUUAGAUACCCUGGUAGUCCACGCCGUAAACGUUGGGCGCUAGGUGUGGGUCCCAUUCCACGGGGUCCGUGCCGCAGCUAACGCAUUAAGCGCCCCGCCUGGGGAGUACGGCCGCAAGGCUAAAACUCAAAGGAAUUGACGGGGGCCCGCACAAGCGGCGGAGCAUGCGGAUUAAUUCGAUGCAACGCGAAGAACCUUACCAAGGCUUGACAUACACCGGACGACUGCAGAGAUGUGGUUUCCCUUUGUGGCUGGUGUACAGGUGGUGCAUGGUUGUCGUCAGCUCGUGUCGUGAGAUGUUGGGUUAAGUCCCGCAACGAGCGCAACCCUCGUUCCAUGUUGCCAGCAACACCUUCGGGUGGUUGGGGACUCAUGGGAGACUGCCGGGGUCAACUCGGAGGAAGGUGGGGAUGACGUCAAAUCAUCAUGCCCCUUACGUCUUGGGCUUCACGCAUGCUACAAUGGCCGGUACAAAGGGCUGCGAUCCCGUGAGGGGGAGCGAAUCCCAGAAAGCCGGUCUCAGUUCGGAUUGGGGUCUGCAACUCGACCCCAUGAAGUCGGAGUCGCUAG